rnacentral:misc_RNA from 1 species
AAAGCAUUCAAAGACCAUCUUCCUCUCUCUCUACUCCUUUGUAUAUUUUCCAAAUAUAAAUUCUUUAUCUUCCUCUCUCUCUUCACAUUUUCUGUCUGCAAAACAUCAUCAAAAACAAGACUUGCCUCUUCUAACCAAUUCAAGAAUCCAUUUUUCAACUUUUCAGGAGGACCCAAAACUUCUGUUUGACUCAUUUUUCUUUGUAUGAUAUAUAAUCUGGAAUUAUGACAAGGGUAACCCUUGAUUUUGGAGAUACAAUGCAAAGGGAUGCUGUUCCUCCUGUAUCAGCAGAUGUGAUCUUCCCAUCUAGUCGCUUUCCAAAUUACAAAAUUGGACCUAACAAUCAG